AUUGGAGGUGACGCCUGCCCCGAUGACCCCUCUUAACUAAAUAACUUUAGGGAACAAGGGUUCAAUGGCCGCGGUAUUUCUGACCGUGAUAAUGUAGCGAAAUCAAUCGUCACUUAAUUGCUGACCGGUAUGAAAGGUAUAACGAACGUUCCCCUGUCUCCUAAAAAGUGGCUAUGAAAUUGUAGGGGCCGUGCAUAUACGGCCCAUUCUCUGUAAGACGAAAAGACCCUAUUGAGCUUUACUAUACUCUUCCUGCUCUCCUAAAGUAACCUGGUAACCCCAGCUUUAUUUUAACCCUAGGAAGAGGGGUAGUUUCGUUGGGGCGACGACCUUCCAAACAGUAACGAAGGUUAACCAAGGUUCUUAAAUAGAAAGUAGCCUGACUGUUAGGGCUAUACCCCGCACAGACACUCCUGUGGGUCUAAGUGAUCCAUCCCGUUUUAAAAGACUGGAUGCCAAAACAUAAAAGUUACCAUAGGGAUAACAGCGUAAUUUUACUGAAGAGUUCUUAUCGAUAGUAAGAU
rnacentral:rRNA from 1 species